rnacentral:rRNA from 1 species
CCUACGGGAGGCAGCAGUGGGGAAUUUUCCGCAAUGGGCGAAAGCCUGACGGAGCAAUACCGCGUGAGGGAGGAAGGCUCUUGGGUUGUAAACCUCUUUUCUCAGGGAAGAACAAAAUGACGGUACCUGAGGAAUAAGCAUCGGCUAAUUCCGUGCCAGCAGCCGCGGUAAUACGGAGGAUGCAAGCGUUAUCCGGAAUUAUUGGGCGUAAAGCGUCCGCAGGUGGCAGUUCAAGUCUGCUGUCAAAGGUCAGGGCUCAACCCUGAACAGGCAGUGGAAACUGAACAGCUAGAGUGCGGUAGGGGCAGAGGGAAUUCCCAGUGUAGCGGUGAAAUGCGUAGAGAUUGGGAAGAACACCGGUGGCGAAAGCGCUCUGCUAGGCCUGCACUGACACUCAGGGACGAAAGCUAGGGGAGCGAAUGAGAUUAGAUACCCCAGUAGUCCUAGCCGUAAACGAUGGAUACUAGGCGUAGCUUGUAUCGACCCAAGCUGUGCCGUAGCUAACGCGUUAAGUAUCCCGCCUGGGGAGUACGCGCGCAAGCGUGAAACUCAAAUGAAUUGACGG